UCGUCUUCAACGAGGAAUUCUAGUAAAUGCAAGUCAUCAGCUUGCGUUGAUUACGUCCUGCCCUUUGUACACACCGCCCGUCGCUCUACCGAUUGAGUGAUCCGGUGAGCUGUCCGGACUGCGAUUAGUUCAGUUUCUGUUCUCUUCGCGGGAAGUUCUGCAAACCUUAUCACUUAGAGGAAGGAGAAGUCGUAACAAGGUUUCCGUAGGUGAACCUGCGGAAGGAUCAUUC
rnacentral:ncRNA from 1 species